GUGCUACUAGUGCUGUUGUUUACAGGCUGCAGAAAAUUUCAACGCUACUUUUGAAGAUCAACAUUAGGUAAACAAAUUUGCAAGGAAUAUGAGUAGAAUCACAGAGCUGAAGGAAGAAACAGAAGUUAAAAGGAAACAACUCCACAAUUUAGAAGUUGUUUGCAAUGACAUCAUGCUUGCAGAUGAUGACUGCUUAAUGAUACCUUAUCAAAUUGGUGAUGUUUUCAUUAGCCAUUCUCAAGAUGAAACACAAGAAAUGUUAGAAGAAGCAAAGAAAAAUUGGUAAGAAGAAACUGAUGCCUUAGAAUCCAGAGUGGUAUCAAUUCAGUGAGUGUUAGUAGAUUUGAAACUUCAGUUAUAUACAAAAUUUGGGGGUAACAUAAACCUUAAAGCUAAUGAA
rnacentral:lncRNA from 1 species